GUAGACAUAGUUUAACUAAAAUAUUAGAUUGUGAUUCUAAAAAUAAGGGUUAAACUCCCUUUGUCCACC
rnacentral:tRNA from 1 species